rnacentral:rRNA from 1 species
AGGGGGGGUGCCUAAUAAUGCAGUCGAGCGGACAGAAGGGAGCUUGCUCCCGGAUGUUAGCGGCGGACGGGUGAGUAACACGUGGGUAACCUGCCUGUAAGACUGGGAUAACUCCGGGAAACCGGAGCUAAUACCGGAUAGUUCCUUGAACCGCAUGGUUCAAGGAUGAAAGACGGUUUCGGCUGUCACUUACAGAUGGACCCGCGGCGCAUUAGCUAGUUGGUGGGGUAAUGGCUCACCAAGGCGACGAUGCGUAGCCGACCUGAGAGGGUGAUCGGCCACACUGGGACUGAGACACGGCCCAGACUCCUACGGGAGGCAGCAGUAGGGAAUCUUCCGCAAUGGACGAAAGUCUGACGGAGCAACGCCGCGUGAGUGAUGAAGGUUUUCGGAUCGUAAAGCUCUGUUGUUAGGGAAGAACAAGUGCGAGAGUAACUGCUCGCACCUUGACGGUACCUAACCAGAAAGCCACGGCUAACUACGUGCCAGCAGCCGCGGUAAUACGUAGGUGGCAAGCGUUGUCCCGGAUUAUUGGGCGUAAAGGGCUCGCAGGCGGUUUCUUAAGUCUGAUGUGAAAGCCCCCGGCUCAACCGGGGAGGGUCAUUGGAAACUGGGAAACUUGAGUGCAGAAGAGGAGAGUGGAAUUCCACGUGUAGCGGUGAAAUGCGUAGAGAUGUGGAGGAACACCAGUGGCGAAGGCGACUCUCUGGUCUGUAACUGACGCUGAGGAGCGAAAGCGUGGGGAGCGAACAGGAUUAGAUACCCUGGUAGUCCACGCCGUAAACGAUGAGUGCUAAGUGUUAGGGGGUUUCCGCCCCUUAGUGCUGCAGCUAACGCAUUAAGCACUCCGCCUGGGGAGUACGGUCGCAAGACUGAAACUCAAAGGAAUUGACGGGGGCCCGCACAAGCGGUGGAGCAUGUGGUUUAAUUCGAAGCAACGCGAAGAACCUUACCAGGUCUUGACAUCCUCUGACAACCCUAGAGAUAGGGCUUUCCCUUCGGGGACAGAGUGACAGGUGGUGCAUGGUUGUCGUCAGCUCGUGUCGUGAGAUGUUGGGUUAAGUCCCGCAACGAGCGCAACCCUUGAUCUUAGUUGCCAGCAUUCAGUUGGGCACUCUAAGGUGACUGCCGGUGACAAACC